rnacentral:rRNA from 1 species
GACGAACGCUGGCGGCGUGCUUAACACAUGCAAGUCGAACGGUGAAGCGCCUUCCUUUUUGGUGGGUGUGGAUGAGUGGCGAACGGGUGAGUAACACGUGAGUAACCUGCCCCCUUCUUCUGGAUAACCGCAUGAAAGUGUGGCUAAUACGGGAUAUUCUGGGUCUGUCGCAUGAUGGGUCUGGGAAAGAUCUUGUUUCGGUGGGGGAUGGGCUCGCGGCCUAUCAGCUUGUUGGCGGGGUGAUGGCCUACCAAGGCGGUGACGGGUAGCCGGCCUGGGAGGGUGGACGGGCAAAGUGGGACGGCGACACGGCCCAGACUCCUACAGGCGGCAGCAGUGGGCAAUACCGCACGAUGGGCGCAAGCCUGAUGCAGCGACGCCGCGUGAGGGAUGGAGGCCUGCGGGUUGUGAACCUCUUUCGCCAGUGAAGCAGGCCUGCCUCGUUUGUGGGUGGGUUGACGGUAGCUGGAUAAGAAGCGCCGGCUAACUACGUG